rnacentral:rRNA from 1 species
UACAGAGGGGGCAAGCGUUGUUCGGAAUUACUGGGCGUAAAGGGCGCGUAGGCGGCCUUCUAAGUCGAACGUGAAAUCCCCGGGCUCAACCCGGGAACUGCGUCCGAUACUGGAAGGCUUGAAUCCGGGAGAGGGAUGUGGAAUUCCGAUGGUGAGCGGUGAAAUGCGUAGAUAUCUGGGAAGGAACACCCGGUGGCGAAGGGCGGACUCC